ACACACAGACAAACUAACAGACAGACAAACUAACAGACGGACAAACAAACAGACACAACUCAGGAGGACCGGUUCCUUUCUCUCUACAAGUUAACCCUUCAUCUAGAACUCAGGAGGACCGGUUCCUUUCUCUCUACAAGUUAACCCUUCAUCUAGAACUCAGGAGGACCGGUUCCUUUCUCUCUACAAGUUAACCCUUCAUCUAGAACUCAGGAGGACCGGUUCCUUUCUCUCUACAAGUUAACCCUUCAUCUAGAACUCAGGAGGACCGGUUCCUUUCUCUCUACAAGUUAACCCUUCAUCUAGAACUCAGGAGGACCGGUUCCUUUCUCUCUACAAGUUAACCCUUCAUCUAGAACUCAGGAGGACCGGUUCCUUUCUCUCUACAAGUUAACCCUUCAUCUAGAACUCAGGAGGACCGGUUCCUUUCUCUCUACAAGUUAACCCUUCAUCUAGAACUCAGGAGGACCGGUUCCUUUCUCUCUACAAGUUAACCCUUCAUCUAGAACUCAGGAGGACCGGUUCCUUUCUCUCUACAAGUUAACCCUUCAUCUAGAACUCAGGAGGACCGGGUUCCUUUCUCUCUACAAGUUAACCCUUCAUCUAGAACUCAGAUGGAGUUUGCCUGCAGUCACGUAGUGUGUAACUGGAGACCAGAGAGUGUAGAGGGGGGGUCAGAUGAGGAGGGGUCAGGUUUGGGUGUGUACUCCUCUAGUCCUCCAGGUGAGGGGGGGACCCCAGGUCCAGGUGUACCCCUUAGACUGUCUGUCAAAGAGCACAUGUACGACAACCGCAUCGCAGUCAUCCCCCAGCCAGAAGCGGGGAUAGUGCCUCCACCUGUGCCCCCUCGACCGUUUAGGUCUCAGAAGCACCCCCGGCCCGCUUUUCUGCCUCCCCCGCCUCCCCCU